rnacentral:rRNA from 1 species
UUCCUACGGGACGCAGCAGUGAGGAAUAUUGGUCAAUGGCCGGAAGGCUGAACCAGCCAAGCCGCGUGAAGGACGAAGGUGCCAAGCAUUGUAAACUUCUUUUGUCAAGGGACAAAAUCAGGCUCGAGAGCCUGACCGAGGGUACUUGAAGAAAAAGCAUCGGCUAACUCCGUGCCAGCAGCCGCGGUAAUACGGAGGGUGCGAGCGUUAAUCGGAAUUACUGGGCGUAAAGCGCUCGUAGGCGGUAUGUCAAGUCAAGGGU